UUCGCAAUGCCCGAAAGGGUGACGAAGCGACGCCGCGUGGGUGAGGAAGGCCUUCGGGUUGUAAAGCCCUGUCAGGAGUUAAGAAAUGUAAGUGCGCUAAUAUCGCAUUUAUUUGACAAAGGCUCCAAAGGAAGCCACGGCUAACUCUGUGCCAGCAGCCGCGGUAAUACAGAGGUGGCAAGCGUUGUUCGGAAUUAUUGGGCGUAAAGAGCACGUAGGUGGGUUUGUAAGUCAGAUGUGAAAGCCUUCUGUUCAACGGAAGAAUUGCAUCUGAAACUACAAGUCUUGAGUGUAGGAGGGGAGAAUGGAACUUCUGGUGGAGCGGUGAAAUGCGUAGAUAUCAGAAGGAACGCCGGCGGCGAAAGCGAUUCUCUGGUCUAUUACUGACACUCAGUGUGCGAAAGCUAGGGGAGCAAACGGGAUUAGAUACCCCGGUAGUCCUAGCCGUAAACGAUGGGCACUAAGUAGAGGGGUUUU
rnacentral:rRNA from 1 species